rnacentral:rRNA from 1 species
GACGAACCGUGCGAACGUUAUUCGGAAUCACUGGGCUUAAAGGGCGCGUAGGCGGGCUCGCAGGUCAGGGGUGAAAGCCCACGGCUCAACCGUGGAAGUGCCUUUGAUACCGUGAGUCUCGAGGGAGGUAGGGGCGUGCGGAACUUCCGGUGGAGCGGUGAAAUGCGUAGAUAUCGGAAGGAGCAUCGGUGGCGAAAGCGGCGCGCUGGACCUCUUCUGACGCUGAGGCGCGAAAGCCAGGGGAGCAAACGGG